UUUUAACAAAAUACAGGUUGUAUCAAUCGUUGAAAUAAAAAAUCCCGUAUUACGCUUCUCGCUGUUUCCAAUAGACUGAUCCCGGAAAAGCACGAGUUUUGAAAAACCCACUAAUCACCCCAGUACAAACAACGCUGGUACAUUAAAUCAGCCAAUGAUAGCUUACUUUAAAUAAUAACGGUUGAUACGGUGUGUGUUUUUGAAUGGAUUAUAAAUGGGUCAUGUUUAUUUGUACCAGCAGAUUAGUGGGUUUUUCCAAAAAGUAGCUUUUUCCGGGAUACAUAUAUUCCGUAUUACCAUACUAGCCGGACUACUUCGACCCAUUUAAUGACGUCACAUUACACGCACCGAAAGUAGAAAUAUUUUAUAUUACGAAAUAUAUUACGUAGCACAUCGUGUGACGUCAUUAUCAAAACUCUGUAAGGACAUGUCGGACGUGGUGUUUUUUAGCAGUAAACUAUGUGUUAAAAACGUAUUUUGGAGUGUGUGUGUGUUUAUCAUGCAUAAAUGUAUAUUUCGAUAGGAAUACAAUAAAAUAGUGUGGUUUAAACUAAGUUUCGAUAGGAACUUUUGGAAGAUAGAAGUGGAAGUGCAUAUCGUUUAAACGUUUUUGUCAUAAACAUCGGAUUAAAGUUGUCAACUUAAUUGUUAUAAAAAUUGGAUAAACGAUGGCAUUGAGACAGGACCUCUCGUCUUAACGUCAUAAGGGGUGUGGCUGACGGGAUCAUGGCGCGGUCUCACGACAUCCUCUCAAGGAACCGUCCAGGACAGCAUAACGCGCACUACACGGUGCGUCUAGAAGCCAAGUUCACGAGCCGACGCGCGCGACUCACAAGUGUCACUCUGUAUUUCGUGCUUGUGAUCAGUGCAGCCGUCAUACUUGCAAUGUACUACAGCUUUCUGUGGCGUCCAAACACGAACAAACUUUUCCACUCGAUGUCCUAUAAAACCGGUUGAUUUCAUUCACUACAAUGUAUCUAUGUUUGCAUACGUUCAACACAUGGCUACGAUCCGAAUGCUAGCGUGUGGACUAAAUGUUCUGUAGUUCAGUUUAUUUUUAAGUACAAUUAUAAAACUGUGUGUACUUAAUAGCAAAUAUGAAUAAAUCGACAAAUCGCCA